ensembl:lncRNA
CUCCUCUGACGACGCAGGUGGCAGCGGGGUGCAGAGAGCUUCCGUGGAAGCAUCAUGUUGGUUUAAAAAGAGAAAAGAAAGCAGGUGGAGUGCCAAAAAUAAACCAAGAAUAGAACCUGAGACCGCGUCUGUCCGGCUGCUCCUGCUGCAACAGGGCUGGGGAGGGACCCACGGCAUUCCCACAGGAGCUGAGGAAGGGGUGACAGCUGUCAACCCCAGGGCUGUUUGGAGUGGCUGAAACAGCAGCGUAGCAAUGGACUGCUGUAGCAGAGGAGUUCAGCACAGCUCCAUCAAAUGGUUCUUUGGAUCGAGCAUAGAAACUGACACCAUUUAAACUACUGUGUCCUGAUUAGGUCAGAUCUCUUCCACCCGUACCCUGUAUCACCAGAGAACAGAAUUUCCAUGCAGCCACUGGUUUGUCCUCAGACAGCGGCACUAGAAGUUACCGCGUUCAGCUUUUGUCCUAUUGCCUGGCUUCCCUGCCCUUGAUCUUCUUCCAGCAGUGGAAACAGCUCUCAUCUUCUCUUGAAUGAGAAUAUCAGUCUACCAACACCAGGUGCUUCUUUCCUUUUUUAAGAGCUCUGUUCAGAGCAUUCCUCCAGAGUGGAACUCUGCUACUUGGCCAAACCAAACAGCACCAACAGCUGAGCAGCCACUAACAUGAUGACGCAGGAGCACACCAUCCAAAGCAGAAGAGAUUUUGCCCUAUUGAUUUAGAAGAAAUGAGGAAAUACGGGGAGUGUGAGAGCACUGAUGAGUCUGGAUUAAGAAAAAACAUAGCCAGGAUAAGGUUCUGUCAAUGGA